AUUGAACGCUGGCGGUAUGCUUAACACAUGCAAGUCGAACGGUAACAGGCCUUCGGGCGCUGACGAGUGGCGGACGGGUGAGUAACGCGUGGAUAAUCUACCCUUUAGCUGGGAAUAACUCAUCGAAAGGUGGGCUAAUACCCAAUAAUACUGCUUUUAUUACGAUUAAGCAGUCAAAGAUAGCCUCUGUUUACAAGCCUUCACUAAUGGAUGAGUCCGCGUACCAUUAGCUAGUUGGUAGGGUAAUGGCCUACCAAGGCGACGAUGGUUAGCUGGUCUGAGAGGAUGAUCAGCCACACUGGAACUGAGAUACGGUCCAGACUCCUACGGGAGGCAG
rnacentral:rRNA from 1 species